rnacentral:sRNA from 18 species
GCCGAUGCUUUAAAUAGAUACGGGGUUUCAGGCUCUGUCUGUUUUAAGGCUCCGGGCGGCAGCAGCAUGACUGCGCAGGGUGCAGCUGCCGUUUACAUA